rnacentral:rRNA from 1 species
AUUGAACGCUGGCGGCAUGCCUUACACAUGCAAGUCGAACGGCAGCACGGGAGCAAUCCUGGUGGCGAGUGGCGAACGGGUGAGUAAUAUAUCGGAACGUGCCCAGUCGUGGGGAUAACGUAGCGAAAGCUACGCUAAUACCGCAUACGAUCUAUGGAUGAAAGCGGGGGAUCGCAAGACCUCGCGCGAUUGGAGCGGCCGAUAUCAGAUUAGGUAGUUGGUGAGGUAAAGGCUCACCCAAGCCGACGAUCUGUAGCUGGUCUGAGAGGACGACCAGCCACACUGGGACUGAGACACGGCCCAGACUCCUACGGGAGGCAGCAGUGGGGAAUUUUGGACAAUGGGCGCAAGCCUGAUCCAGCAAUGCCGCGUGC